UCUUCUUUGAAAUUACUGGGCCAAAUUAAACUAAACUUGGCCACAAUCAUCAUUUGGGUAACUUGUUUAAAAAAUGUGUGGCGUGACCUGGCCAAUCAACCAAAAUGGCUCCCACGGCUAAUAAUAGAACAUCGGGGUAAAAUCCAGUUUUUGGCUUAUAACUCAAAAACCGAAGCAUUAAGAGAAAAUCUGACAGGGUUUAAUUGUUUAUCAGGUCAAGAUUUAUCUGCCCUGAUGUUUUCACAUGGAUCGG
rnacentral:lncRNA from 1 species